CGCGCCUGGAGGGGCGGUGGAAAGCGCUUAUGCGCAAGCGCAGUCGCAGGUCCUCGCCUCCUGGAGAAGUUACUGCGCAGGUUCGCGUGUAUAGAUUGUUGUCGCCUUUUGACAUUCUUGAAAUCAAGAAAUUUGCCCAUGCCAAAUUAAGGAGAAAGCUGUGAGCCAGUUGUCAUUACUUGUGCAGUUUCUCCAAGUUCCAAAGAAGGUAAUACACUGCUGGCCUGAUUGUGUUUCAGCUCCAAGACACAGCACAACGUUUGAAAAGCCCAUUGUUCCGUGUUGUGAUAAUAUAACUCUCUGUAAAUGGUGCAGUCCAGUGUACAGAGUACCGCCCCGCCCAGCCCACUGGUGACCUGUGGGGACAGCUGAAUGCCUUCUGGUCGCUGAGCCCACAAGAGCGGGGCUGGGCUUUCAGAAACAGCUGGGCUGAUUCAUGCAGAACAAAAGCCAGCUCUUCCUGCUAAAUCCCUGGCAGGCACGGCUGUGAGGCUGCUGGGCCCCUGUGCCUCUCCGAGGGAAACAUCUUGACUCAGCUCCAAAUGUCUAGAUGUCAGUCUCCUGCCUGAGCGCCUUGGGCAGCUUCCCACCGUCCAGUCCCUUUGGCCUGGCAUGCUCCCGGCCCCCACGCGGGAGGCGGUGGCUUUGGAGGGAAAUCUGGGUUCUAGUCCCAUGUAGGCCGUUUCCCAGCUAUGCAACGUAAACAAGUGACUUCUUGCUCAGCCUCAGUUGCUCCAUCUGCAAGCUGGGAGCGAGAGUAGCUCCAAUCUGAGAAAUCUGUCGUCGGGUCUGAAGGACAAACUUCAAGGCUGUCAGGCACUCGUGGAUACUGCUGUCCUGUUUUGUGUAAACCUGAUGCAUCUUGCUGUCUGGCUUGGUCUUGCACAGUUCCCUUCGUCCACGUACCCUGCACCCCAGACUCGCCGGCACAAGCUCGCUCACCUUAAACACCUCCGUGCCUUUCCCUAGUGGGUUCCCAUACGGACACCAGCCACUGUUGACAGAGCCCGUUCUAUGUCCCAGGCCUUAACAUGGAUAAUUUCACUUCAUUUCCCUGCAACUCUUUGAGUGGACACGAUUGUCAGGUGAAGAAACCAAGGCACAGAUGGGUUGAGUGACUGGGACGGAGGGAGGUCCUGUCCUCCAAGGCCAAUAAGCACAAAAAUAGCACUACCUCAAAGACUUUUUGUUCCGUCUUCCGCCAGCCUCCACACCUUCGCUUAUUCUGUGCCCUUCGCAGAAGCUGCCGUUCCCUGCCUCACCUCCAUUCCUGUUCUUCCCGUACUUUCAAGGUCGACUGAGUCCUUCUGCCUCGUGGAGUUGUCUCUCUGCCACGCGUCCCCUGCCCUUUGCCAUGGGAACUGCGCCCUCCAUAACCAGGUUACGGUGGGAGCCACGUGUUUGUGCGGUGACCCUGCCGCUCUGGCUACAGUUAACUGGAUCAAGGGUAGGAAUCUGCCCCAAGUGAGGGUGUGGACCACAAACCAAGAUUCCAGCUUGCUGUUGGUAAAUGCCAUCUUCUAGAAAGGAGAAGGAGAAAUGCUUGUGCGACUGAGGCAGAGGAACGAAGCAGAUGGGCAGGGAUGGAAGAUGGAGAGAGAGCACUUUCUGGGUCCCCUUUGGUACUCAGGCUGUGCUUGGGGCUCGACACUGAGGCCCCAUGGGGCAUUCCAGGGUCUCCCGAGAGCACUCCCUCAAGUCAUCCCUGGCACGGAAUCCCCAUCUUGUCCUCUGCUUCUGGGAACUUACUAUAAGGCAUUCAAUGCUCAAUAAAUACUUGUCCUAAUAACUUAUUUUUCGGAAGCUAGCUCCACAAAAGGUCUGCAGCCAAAAAGCCCCACCGAUCCUGAGGUCUUCCCUACCUGGCUGGCCCAGCCUUCUCCUCUGGGAGCUUCUCCAUGCCCAUCUGGUCAUUUAACAAGUCUCAUGGCCUUCUCUGUGGACAUGACAGAAGAUGGCCACCACAAAAUGGCGGCCUUGGGGAUUAUCAGUCCUCACAGGCCCAGUUAAUUAACCACAACUGUCAUGUCCCACGCUCCAACUCCAAACCCUGAGAGCCCAGCUUGGUCCUGGUGUCAACUGCUAAUGCUGCCGACUGCGUUGUGAAGGAGGACUCUGGCACAAGCAUGGUGCCAAGUGAGGGCCAACCUGUGGGUGGGAAGAGGCGUCCUGAGAGGGGGGAGUGGGCACCCCCAGACUGUCUACUGCACGGCCUGUGUGUGGCCUUCGUUUCUCCUCAUCCUCACUCCAUGUUCUCCCAUGGGAGGGGAUCUACGUUAGCGAGACAUGCACACUGAGACGAGGAGCCAGGGAAGAUUGGUCUUCCUGUUGCCUAGAUGCACUGGGAAGAGAAGUACAAAAAAGAGUCUGGAAAGGAACGAGGACAGGACACUAAGGCAAAGGGAACUUCUAGGCACCCACGCAAGGCAGACCUGACCCUGAAAGGGCAGGCCAAGACAGAUCCUGACCAGCUGCAGAACACACAUGUUGAUGCAUGAAGCAAAGCACUAGGAACUUGCCUGGCCCUCUGAUAAAGUACUGGUCAUCUUCACUAUUAUUUUUACCAUUUCUGGUGAUAGCUGUGCCUAUGUGACUUUGCAGCCACCAGAUGGAACAAUCACAGGAUCAUGGGUGCAAGCCCCUUUACUCUCUUGGCCUCAGUUUCCCCAUCUCUAAAUUAAAGGGUUGGAGCAGAUGUUCUCCAGUGUUUUCUCUGGUUCUGUGGAGACACAGAUUCAGAGGUCCACCUCCCUUUGUCUGAGAGAAGUUGCUGGCGUUGGAAAUGACAUGUUAGAUAAUUCCAGGGCCUGUGUAGGCUGAGGCUUGUAAUCAAAGAGCUUGGAGCCAAACAGCCUGUGUUUCUGCCUUGUUCCCCACCGCCCUACAGCGGGCCACGGACAGCCUCUGGAAAAAGCAGAGAGUGGCGGAGAGAAGGUGCGAGCCUCCCUGGGGGCAGGGGUGGAGGGGUGAACACCUUGCUUCAGUUCUCUGAGAAAGUGGAACUGGACAGAGUUUCCCAAGCCAGGAAGGGCGGCAGAGUGUGACUCAGGACAUUGAGCAAAGGAGCGGAGGCCGAGGACUCAGGCAUAGAGGACCAGGCUGUACGGUAUCACCUGUGUGACCUCCAGAGACCUACUUAACCCUUUCUGUGGCUUGGCCAUCUCAUCUGAAAAAUGCACGUGGUGAUACCUACCUUGGGAGGUGGGCUAGGGAGGUGAGAGUGGUCUUCCCAACACGUGGGAAGACCAGAACAUGGUAUGUGACAUUCAAGAAAUGGUUCCUGCGAUCACUGGUGCUGUACAGAGACCGAGAGGGGCAGGAGGAAGAGCCAGGCUGCGAUUCCCUAGGCCCUGUGGCUUCCCUGGCUGCUGCUCAAUGGGAAAACCAGGAAGCGAGUGCCAUGCUCUUGGCUUCUCUGCUGCUUAAACAGUGCCAGCUGUUCCUGCUCUCACCCCCAGCACCCAGCAGUUAUUGACUCUGGCCUACUUUACCUAGUUUGGGAGGGGGCUUUACCCUGGCAGGACGCUGGCCAGCCUCCAGCACCUAGGCUGGACAUGGGCAUCCUUGUUGUCUACCUGGUCCAGGCUCCUGUUGAGUGUAUGAAUCCUCCCAAACUGGAGUCAGAGCAGCUGCCAGAGGCCUGGGAACCCACGUUUGCACCAGGACUGUUGGGAGGCUGACCCAUGCCUCGUUCCAUUAUAAAUGGCUCUCUCUCAAAUGCAUCUGUUGAGAUAAAUAAAAUACGACACUUGUUUAAAAGUGACCUUGCACUCAUCUUUCUGACCAGUGUGGAUUUUCUCAAUCUUCUAAAAUAACAUCUGCCACCACACUGGUAAGAACAUCCGCGGACCCAGAGCCCACAGUCCUUGCCAUUGCGUGGAGUCUUUCUCUCACUGUCUUCCCAGCCGGCCGCGAAGAGGCAGUUCAUGAUGCCCAUUUUACAAAUGAGGAAACUGAGACAGAUAUGUUAAGUCACUUGACCGAAGUUAUGGGAGGAACAAGUGUCAGGGAAUCCAACCAGGGCCUUCUGACUCCGAAGCCCCACUUAAGGACAGGGAUGGACUUUGGCGCUUCUUGUUUCUCCCGAAUGAAGUUGGGAAUCGUUCUUCCCUUUGUUCCCUCCAGAGGCUGCUUGCCAUCUCGCCCGCUUUGCGGGCUUUGCCUCCUGAAGCCCUUCCUCGCCUGGUCCUAGUGGAGCAUUGCACGCUGCCCGCGUCACCUGCGCUCUUUGGCCGCAGCGCAGCCCGGGAGCUCCCC